rnacentral:lncRNA from 1 species
AUGCUCUUCUCACAAUUUCAGGAUCUUCUGACUAAUCUCUGCCGAACUUCCCUUUCCACCUUGGAGGGUCUCAUUCCUACUCGAAGGGUAUUUUGGUCAUCUUGCAGAUCUUCGUCAAACCACUCUGAUACCAAUUGUUGGGACUGUGAAAUCCCGUGUCCAACUCUAUAUUGUCCGAUUAGUACGAUAUUGUCCACUUUGGGCCUUAACCAAGCCCGCAUGGAUUUACUUUUGGUUUCCUUCCCAAAAGGCCUCGUACUAAUUAGAGUUGGACAUCUCUUUAUAUAUUAGACACUCCUUGUCUAAACUUCCAAUGUGGGACUUGGAUUGACAUCUCUCAUUCUCCCCCUCAAGCUAAGGACCACACACCUUGUGCCCUUUCAUGUGAUUGCUCGCUCCAUUAUCCAAAUACCAGACACUUGCACUGCCUUUGUCGAUAUCAAGAUUCUUCGGAAUCACCUUAUCUUCGUUCAAAACACCACCUCGUGUACAUAGAGUGCAUCAGCCUCUUCUGUCUCGUUUAGGUUGGUUUCUUGAUUCUUCUCUAUCUUUUCGGGACAGACAGUUGCGUAGUGACCAGGCUUGUCACAUCUCCAACAUAUCAGCUUUGAACGAUUCUUCUUCGAGUUGAUAUCUUCGGUGUGUGACGCACGG